rnacentral:rRNA from 1 species
AUUGAACGCUGGCGGCAUGCCUAACACAUGCAAGUCGAACGGUAACGGGCCUUCGGGUGCCGACGACGGGUGCAGGGGGGAGUAAGAUUCCGGAAAGUGUCCGAACGUGGGGGAUAUCGCGGCGUAAGCUUGGCUAAUAUAGCCUACGAUCUCCGAAGGAAAGCGGGGGACAGCAAGGGAUCGCGCGGUCUGAGCGGCCGAUGGCGGAUUAGCUAGUUGGUGGGAUAAAAGCGUACCAAGGCGACGCUCUGUAGCUGGUCUGAGAGGAUGAUCAGCCACACUGGAACUGAGACACGGCCCAGACUCCUACGGGAGGCAGCAGUGGGGAAUAUUGGACAAUGGGCGCAAGCCUGAUCCAGCCAUGCCGCGUGCGGGAAGAAGGCCUUCGGGUUGUAAAGCACUUUUGUUCGGAACGAAAAGCAGUCUGUUAAUACCGGGCGGUCUUGACGGUACCGAAAGAAUAAGCACCGGCUAACUACGUG